GACUCAGUAUCUCAGUUGGUAUAGCAGUGGGAUGGAAUCCCUAAGUCACGAGUUCGAUCCUCACUUGGGUUU